rnacentral:rRNA from 1 species
AUGAUUAAUUUUCAGGAUGCACUUGAAGCUUGUGGACUCACUGAUCUUGGUUUUUCAGGGCACCCCUUCACAUAUGAUAAUAGGCGGAGUGGCCGGGCGAACGUCCAAGUUCGGCUGGAUAGAGCGGUGGCGUCCAAUGACUGGAGAGACAUGUUUAUGCAAGCUUCGGUGGCACACCUUGUGUCGCCGGCGUCGGACCAUAGUCCGCUGCUCCUCAAGUUUUCGCUGGAACAGGACAGGCGGCCUCACAGCAGCCGCCGGUACGAGUUGAUGUGGGAGAGAUCGCCGGCGUUAGAGGCCAUUAUCACAAACUCUUGGUCAAGCAAAGGUACGAAGAGGAACCUGGGAGAUGUACGGGAGGCCCUUGCUACUGUUAUGGCUGAUCUACACACUUGGAGUAAUAAAACUUUUGGCAAUGUUACACGGGAGCUAGAAAAGAAAGGUACUAGGCUUGAGGAACUAACCAAUAUGAAUGCAGACCGAGCUGAAAUAAGACUGGAGAUGGACAAGAUGAAUGAGCUGUUAUACAGGGAGGAAAUGUUGUGGCUCCAGAAAUCUCGGAUUGUUUGGCUAAAGGAAGGGGAUCGUAACACCAAGAUGUUCCACAGGAAGGCAGUUUGGCGAGCGAGAAAGAAUAAAAUCCGAGGGCUGGCGGAUGAGGCGGGUGUUAUGCACACCGAUCAGGCCAACAUGCUACAGAUGGUAAAAAUGUUAUUUUCAUAA